CAUGUCAGACCUCAAUAGCGGUCCUUUGUGUGGAACUGGUUGCGGUCAUAGCGGACAGCUAAAAAAAUUUAGACCACGAAUCCUCUUAUCCCAUCCCCUUCUCCUGGCGACGGGUGGCGGGCACUUCCUUGGUGGCGAUGCGGCUAACGCCGGAGGCCGGACGGAGAGGCAAAUCCAGGCUCACCAUCACCCGAUGCCGCUGCUACCCUAGCCCCCUCUUCCCCUGCCGGUCUUUGAGGGAGCAGCCAGCACGACGGCCACCUCCUCGCUCCUGCUCAACGCCCUUCCAUGGUCGACGACAAGCCGGUGCGGGAUAACACGGCGAGCCAGCGGGCAGUACCUCACUGGGACGGCGGCGCUCAAGCUCAAUGCCCACGUCCCCUCUCUGGUCCCUGAUUGACGCCCUACUCGUCGAUGUCCCUAUCCAGAAGUGGUAAUUCAGUCAACUAUCUGCACUUGUAAAUUUGUAAUUAAGAAGACCAAGAAGUGGACAUGGAUCUGAAUGGAGAAGAGGAUAAGGAUGGCGAAUGACUUGUGCAUCUUCCAUGAUCAGAACUAGAUCUGUUUAUUCUUGUGCGAUGGUCAUGGUCUGACUUGUAUGAUUGGCUAGUAGUUUUUGUUUGCAUGGUUACACGGUUGAAUAUUGUACAGAUGGACGAGUUGUGUAACCCUGAUAGUUUUUGUUUGCAUGGUUGAAUAUUGUCGGGAUGGAAUAGUUAUUGUCCAUAUGAUUAUGCUUAUAUAAAUGAUGAUUGUACAA